rnacentral:rRNA from 1 species
UACGUAGGGAGCAAGCGUUGUCCGGAAUUACUGGGCGUAAAGGGCGUGUAGGCGGGAAUUUAAGUAAGGUGUGAAAACUCCGGGCUCAACCUGGAGACUGCACUUUAAACUGGAUUUCUUGAGGGCAGGAGAGGAAAGUGGAAUUCCUAGUGUAGCGGUGAAAUGCGUAGAUAUUAGGAGGAACACCAGUGGCGAAGGCGACUUUCUGGACUGCACCUGACGCUGAGGCGCGAAAGCGUGGGGAGCGAACAGG